rnacentral:rRNA from 1 species
UACGUAGGGUCCGAGCGUUGUCCGGAAUUACUGGGCGUAAAGAGCUCGUAGGUGGUUUGUCGCGUUGUCCGUGAAAACUCACAGCUUAACUGUGGGCGUGCGGGCGAUACGGGCAGACUGGAGUACUGCAGGGGAGACUGGAAUUCCUGGUGUAGCGGUGGAAUGCGCAGAUAUCAGGAGGAACACCAAUAGCGAAGGCAGCUCGCUGGGACGUUACUGACACUGAGGCGCGAAAGCGUGGGGAGCGAACAGG